GAUGAAGAACGUAGCGAAAUGCGAUAAGUAAUGUGAAUUGCAGAAUUCAGUGAAUCAUCGAAUCUUUGAACGCACAUUGCGCCCCUUGGAAUUCCGAGGGGCAUGCCUGUUCGAGCGUCAUUAUAACCCUCAAGCUCAGCUUGGUGUUGGGGCCUGCUGCACUGGCAGCCCUUAAAAUCAGUGGCGGCGCCAUCUGGCUCUAAGCGUAGUAAUUCUUCUCGCUAUGGAGUCCUGGUGGAUGCUUGCCAUCAACCCCCAAUUUUUCUAUGGUUGACCUCGGAUCAGGUAGGGAUACCCGCUGAACUUAAGCAUAUCAAUAAGCGGAGGA
rnacentral:misc_RNA from 1 species